rnacentral:rRNA from 1 species
UACGGAGGGUGCAAGCGUUAUCCGGAUUUAUUGGGUUUAAAGGGUACGUAGGCGGUGAAUUAAGUCAGUGGUGAAAUCCAGCAGCUUAACUGUUGAUGUGCCUUUGAUACUGUUUUUCUAGAGUGAUGAUGAGGUGGGUGGAAUUCCAUGUGUAACGGUGAAAUGCUUAGAUAUAUGGAGGAACACCGAUAACGAAGGUAGCUCACUAAUUUUUCACUGACGCUGAGGUACGAAAGCGUGGGGAUCAAACGGG